rnacentral:lncRNA from 1 species
CAAAUCAGCAGAAGGGUGUCCUCGAACCCUUGCCCUUUGCCUGGAUCUGAAUGCAGGCCUCAUCCCAUCCCCCACCCAAGAACCUGAGGCAGUUCUCACACCUCCUCUGGUCAAGCAAGCCUGCCUUAUGCUCAUGGCUUUCUUGGGCAGUUAUUAACUUACAGUCACCUCCCAACAUCCCAUAAGUUCCCUCUUUAACUGCUACUGCUGUAGAAUUCCCAGAAGUCACCUCAGAGGACACUCGAGGAAGAUGGAGGGAGAAUAGCUUUAUUAUGCCGGCGGGUCCCUGGGGAAUCACUUCCCAAUCAUAGACCCUGAACAGAAAGGGGGAGAUACAUUUACAGUGCUUGCUUCCGUGUCUAACAUGCUACAUUACUCUUUAGUUACAUGCAGGAUACAGAAAGAUGUAUAGCUGUACAGAAGGCCUAAUAUUGUUACUUUAAUGAUUAGCCUCAAGUACAAUCUGGCUAUUUUUGAAUUUCUUUAGAACAAUCGGGGCCUGGUGUUAUCUCAAAUCCUAAUGACUUCAUUUUUCCCAGAACCCUCGUAUGACUCACCUUAAGUUCACCAAGAUGGACGGUGGCAGCAACAUGGCUUUGCUCUUGUCAAGCUCCCUACUCCCUUUUCCACAUCCCUCCGCUACAACUCCUUGUGUCUACUCCAUCCCAGGUCAAGAAACGACAUUGUUUUCCUGAGCCGCGGUGACAGCGAGGUGACAGAGAUUAAUAGCUUGGUAUUGACUGAGCAACUUCCAGUUCCUUAUCUCUGUCAAGUCAAGGCUGUGUCCAAGGGCUGAAAGUGUUAUUAGACUUAUAAUUGCAAAGACAUUUAAAGGGUUUCCCCUUAAGGGACUAUGAAAUCCAAUAAACCUUUCACAAAACCUCCA